UACGUAAGGGGCUAGCGUUGUUCGGAAUCAUUGGGCGUAAAGGGCGUGUAGGCGGAUUUGUAAGUUGGAUGUGAAAUCUUUCGGCUUAACCGAGAAACUGCGUUCAAAACUGCAAGUCUAGAGUUUGGAAGAGGAGAACGGAAUUCCUAGUGUAGGGGUGAAAUCUAUAGAUAUUAGGAAGAACACCGAUGGCGAAGGCGGUUCUCUGGUCCAAAACUGACGCUGAGCCGCGAAAGCUAGGGGAG
rnacentral:rRNA from 1 species